rnacentral:rRNA from 1 species
AACGAACGCUGGCGGCAGGCUUAACACAUGCAAGUCGAACGCGUGCAGCAAUGCACGAGUGGCGCACGGGUGAGUAACGAGUGGAUAUCUGCCUUUUGGUUCGGAAUAACCCCGGGAAACUGGGGCUAAUACCGGAUGGUUCCUACGGGAUAAGGAUUUAUCGCCAAAAGAUGAGUCCGCGUCCGAUUAGCUAGUUGGUGAGGUAAUGGCUCACCAAGGCGACGAUCGGUAGCUGGUCUGAGAGGACGAUCAGCCACACUGGGACUGAGACACGGCCCAGACUCCUACGGGAGGCAGCAGUGGGGAAUAUUGGACAAUGGGGGCAACCCUGAUCCAGCCAUGCCGCGUGAGUGAUGAAGGCCUUCGGGUUGUAAAGCUCUUUUGGCGGGGACGAUGAUGACGGUACCCGCAGAAUAAGCCCCGGCUAACCUCGUG